UACGUAGGGGGCAAGCGUUGUCCGGAUUUAUUGGGCGUAAAGAGCGUGUAGGCGGCCAGGUAGGUCCGUUGUGAAAACUCGAGGCUCAACCUCGAGACGUCGAUGGAAACCAUCUAGCUAGAGUCCGGAAGAGGAGAGUGGAAUUCCUGGUGUAGCGGUGAAAUGCGCAGAUAUCAGGAAGAACACCCGUGGCGAAGGCGGCUCUCUGGUACGUGACUGACGCUGAGACGCGAAGCGUGGGAGCGAACAGG
rnacentral:rRNA from 1 species